CUUCUAUUACCUCUGUCCCAAAUGACUUGUCUUAGAUUUGUGUAGAUACGGAUGUCUCUAACACUAAAACGUGUCUAGAUACAUCCGUAUCUAGAUCAAGACAAGUAAUUCGGGACAGAGGGAGUAUAGA
rfam:Triticum aestivum genome assembly, contig: Triticum_aestivum_CS42_TGACv1_scaffold_049478_1BS